AGUCGACGGUGAUGAAGAGCUUGCUCUUUGGAUCAGUGGCGAACGGGUGAGUAACACGUGAGCAAUCUGCCCUUGACUCUGGGAUAACUGCGGGAAACUGUAGCUAAUACCGGAUAUGACCCAGGAAGGCAUCUUUUUGGGUGGAAAGAAUUUUGGUCAAGGAUGAGCUCGCGGCCUAUCAGCUAGUUGGUGAGGUAAUGGCUCACCAAGGCGACGACGGGUAGCCGGCCUGAGAGGGUGACCGGCCACACUGGGACUGAGACACGGCCCAGACUCCUACGGGAGGCAGCAGUGGGGAAUAUUGGACAAUGGGCGCAAGCCUGAUCCAGCCAUGCCGCGUGAGUGAUGAAGGCCUUAGGGUUGUAAAGCUCUUUUGUCCGGGACGAUAAUGACGGUACCGGAAGAAUAAGCCCCGGCUAACUUCGUGCCAGCAGCCGCGGUAAUACGAAGGGGGCUAGCGUUGCUCGGAAUCACUGGGCGUAAAGGGCGCGUAGGCGGCCGAUUAAGUCGGGGGUGAAAGCCUGUGGCUCAACCACAGAAUUGCCUUCGAUACUGGUUGGCUUGAGACCGGAAGAGGACAGCGGAACUGCGAGUGUAGAGGUGAAAUUCGUAGAUAUUCGCAAGAACACCAGUGGCGAAGGCGGCUGUCUGGUCCGGUUCUGACGCUGAGGCGCGAAAGCGUGGGGAGCAAACAGGAUUAGAUACCCUG
rnacentral:rRNA from 1 species